UCAAAAUGAAGACAUAGUCUGAACCAUUUUGCAAGAAAUGGAAAUAAAAAAAUGAUAACAUAUAGAACAGGCUAAUUUGCGCAAGAGUGUACAAAAUGAGUGCGCGGUUUGGCACCUCGAUGUCGGCUUAACUUAUCCUCAUGGAUGCAGAAACUAUGUAGGGUGCGACUGUUCGUCGAUUAAAAAGUUACAUGAGCUGGGUUAAAUACGUCGUGAGACAGUAUGGUUUCUAUCUUCUAGAGGGAAUUAGAAUAAAAUAAGAACGAACUUUUGUACGAAAGGAACGAGAAAAAUUUGACUUUAAAAGGUUAAAUAAUAGUUACUAACCUAUGGUUUACCUGUUGUUUAUGUACCCAAAUAUUAAAUAUAUAUAAUUUAUUAUAUAAUUGUAUUAUAAAUAUAAUUUAUUAUAUAUAUCUAUACAUAUUAUGUAUAAAGGGAUGUUUCUAUCACUAAGAUAAAUAUAUAGCAUAAGCACGGCAGGAAAGCUAAGUUGGUUAAGGAUAAGUGCUGAAAGCAUAUAGGCACGAAGCUUAUCUUAAGAUAUUUCUUAAAUAUACGUAAUAUAAUAUUACGAAAGCUUAGUAAGCUAUCAUAGGCUUUAUCCGUAAGAAUCACGAGAUUUUUAAGAUUAAAGUACUAAUUUAA
rnacentral:ncRNA from 1 species